rnacentral:rRNA from 1 species
CCUACGGGAGGCAGCAGUGGGGAAUUUUGCACAAUGGGGGAAACCCUGAUGCAGCGACGCCGCGUGAGUGAAGAAGUAAUUCGGUAUGUAAAGCUCUAUCAGCAGGGAAGAAAAUGACGGUACCUGAGUAAGAAGCCCCGGCUAACUACGUGCCAGCAGCUGCGGUAAUACGUAGGGGGCAAGCGUUAUCCGGAUUUACUGGGUGUAAAGGGAGCGUAGACGGCAGUGCAAGUCUGGAGUGAAAGGCGGGGGCUCAACCCCCGGACUGCUCUGGAAACUGUACGGCUGGAGUGCAGGAGAGGUAAGUGGAAUUCCGAGUGUAGCGGUGAAAUGCGUAGAUAUUAGGAGGAACACCAGUGGCGAAGGCGGCUUACUGGACUGUAACUGACGUUGAGGCUCGAAAGCGUGGGGAGCAAACAGGAUUAGAUACCCCAGUAGUC